rnacentral:rRNA from 1 species
UAGUGGAGCAGUACCGUGAGGGAAAGGUGAAAAGAACCCCGGGAGGGGAGUGAAAUAGUACCUGAAACCUUGUGCUUACAAGCAGUUACAGCCCGUUAAAGGGUGGUAGCGUACUUUUUGUAGAACGGUCCGGCGAGUUAUAGUCACUAGCGAGCUUAAGACAUUCAGUGUCGGAGGCGUAGGGAAACCGAGUCUGAAGAGGGCGUAUGAAGUUAGUGGCCAUAGACCCGAAACCAUGUGACCUAGCCAUGAGCAGGAUGAAGUGGAGGUAAAGCUCCAUGGAGGUCCGAACGCACGUUCGUUGCAAUGACCGGCGAUGACUUGUGGCUAGCGGUGAAAUUCCAAUCGAACUUGGAGAUAGCUGGUUCUCCCCGAAAUAGCUUUAGGGCUAGCGUUGGGAAUGAGUUUAGCGGAGGUAAAGCACUGAAUGAGCUAGGGGGCGCAAGCUUACUGAACUCUAUCAAACUAAGAAUGCCGCAUAAAUGCUUCCCAGCAGUCAGACUGCGAGUAAUAAAAUCCGUGGUCAAAAGGGUAACAGCCCAGACCCACAGCUAAGGUCCCCAAUACAUGCUAAGUGGAAAACGAUGUGAGAUUGCAUAAACAACCAGGAUGUUGGCUUAGAGGCAGCCACUCGUUCAAAGAGUGCGUAAUAGCUCACUGGUCGAGUGAUCUUGCGCGGAAAAUUUAACGGGGCUAAGCAUGUAACCGAAGCUUAGGGUUUACAGCAAUGUAAGCGGUAGGGGAGCGUCGAAUACGGGGUGAAGUCAUACCGAAAGGAAUGGUGGACUGUAUUCGAGUGAGAAUGCCGGAAUGAGUAGCGAGAAUUAUGUGGGAAUCAUAAUGGCCGAAAAUCUAAGGUUUCUUGGGGAAGGUUCGUCCGCCCAAGGUAAGCCGGGAGCUAAGGCGAGGCCGAGAGGCGUAGUCGAUGCACAUACGGUAAAGAUUCCGUAGCCACCGAAGUCGUUAAAUACAGGGACACAGGAACAUAGCCUAACCCCACCGUUGGUUGAGUGGGGCGUAAGGGAGCGAAAAAUAGUAGCGAAGUAGGUGAUUGUACACUGGCGAGAAAAGCUGUAUGUAUUGAUAAGGUGCCCGUACCGCAAACCGACACAGGUAGAUGAGGAGAGAAUCCUAAGACCAGCGGGAGAAGUGUUGUUAAGGAACUCGGCAAAAUGACCCCGUAACUUCGGGAUAAGGGGAGCCUACGCGAGUAGGCCGCAGAGAAUAGUCUCAAGCGACUGUUUAGCAAAAACACAGGUCUAUGCUAAAUCGAAAGAUGAUGUAUAUGGGCUGACGCCUGCCCGGUGCUGGAAGGUUAAGGGGAAGUGUUAGAGCAAUCGAAGCACUGAACUUAAGCCCCAGUAAACGGCGGCCGUAACUAUAACGGUCCUAAGGUAGCGAAAUUCCUUGUCAGGUAAGUUCUGACCCGCACGAAUGGCGUAACGACUUGAGAGCUGUCUCAACAACAUACCCGGCGAAAUUGAAGUACUGGUAAAGAUGCCAGUUACCCGUGAUAAGACGGAAAGACCCCAUGGAGCUUUACUGUAACUUGAUAUUGAAUUUUUGUAUUACAUGUACAGGAUAGGUGGGAGACAGAGAACUAAUGCCGCCAGGUGUUAGGGAGUCGAUGUUGGGAUACCACUCUUGUAAUAUGAAGGUUCUAACCUGCACCCGUGAAUCCGGGUGGGGGACACUGUCAGGUGGACAGUUUGACUGGGGCGGUCGCCUCCUAAAAGGUAACGGAGGCGUUCAAAGGUUGGUUCAGCACGGACGGAAAUCGUGCAACGAGUGCAAACGCAUAAACCAGCCUAACUGCGAGACCGACAAGUCGAGCAGUAACGAAAGUUGGAGUUAGUGAUCCGGCGGUAUGAGAGUGGAAUUGCCGUCGCUCAACGGAUAAAAGCUACCCUGGGGAUAACAGGCUGAUCUCCCCCA